GGUUGGUCCGAGUGGUGUUUACAAUUCAUUGAUCACAACCAGUUACAGAUUCCUUUGUUCCUUCUCCACUCCCAAUGCUUUACUUGUCCAGCCUUAA
rnacentral:Y_RNA from 1 species